rnacentral:tRNA from 1 species
GGACUCGUAGCUCAGCUGGUUAGAGCGCUUGAUUCACAUUCAUGAGGUCGGAGGUUCGAAUCCUCCCGGGUCCA